rnacentral:lncRNA from 1 species
UUCUAAGCCUUUUUUCCUUGUAGGUCACCCUUCCUGCCAACAGUGUGAAGGACCCCAACCCUGACAGAGACCAGACCCUGGGAUCUGGAAUGUGUAUCCUGAGUGCAUUCUGCCACUGCCUCUUAGCCACCUUCCCUGAUGCUGUCUGGGAUGCAGGCAUUGCAUGCAGUUCACGUCGGAAGAUUCCACACUGCAAUCCAGAGACCAAAAGGAGCCCAUUGCGAUCUGGCUCUGGGGGACCCUGGGAUGAUAUCCCUACCCCCAGGGACAGGAACCAACCCCCGGGGACCUGGAGAGACUCUGUGCCCUGCAGGACCGAUGGGGGACUCCUCCCUGUAUGUACGUGUGCGUGGCCCUGCCUUGUUCUUGCCCCGGACCUGGCCUGGUGAAGGAGGCACGAGGAAGAUUGCAGUCAGGGACGCUCAGCCUGGGAGCUGACCCUCAGGUGAGGCCCUAAGGAAGUUCCCAGACCUCCCUGAACCUCAGUAUGCUCAUCUGUCCAGCAGCAACCCUGGGCCUUAAGUGAGAACAUCUAUGCGGAAGAGGCAGGUGCCAAUCAAGCCCUCUGUAAAGUUACCUCCCCUUUUCCCUUCUUCUCCUCUCACAGAGCUGAAGAAUAUUU